UCAGACAUGGUGUAGUGAGAACACAGCCUCCCUUCAUGGCGCAAUCUGUAGCUUUUCAGAGGCAGUCCAGGGUUCGAGUCCUUGUGUCUGAA